rnacentral:rRNA from 1 species
UACGGAGGGUGGCAAGCGUUGUUCGGAUUUAUUGGGCGUAAAGCGCGUGUAGGCGGUUUCUUAAGUCUGAUGUGAAAGCCCCUGGGCUCAACCCAGGAAGUGCAUUGGAUACUGGGAGACUUGAAUACGGGAGAGGGUAGUGGAAUUCCUAGUGUAGGAGUGAAAUCCGUAGAUAUUAGGAGGAACACCGGUGGCGAAGGCGGCUACCUGGACCGAUAUUGACGCUAGACGCGAAAGCGUGGGGGAGCAAACAGG